rnacentral:sRNA from 1 species
AUUUAAUUGAUCGUAAUUAAUAUGUCCCCUCAUGUCUUAUCCGUUGAUUUAUUUUUAGUGACAAUCCACAAAAAUCGGCCAUAAUCUCUACUUGAUAGUUUUUUCUUUCUAUUUUGAUAUUGAAAGGUUAGUCCUAUGUUUGACUAAUAUUGAGGAAUCUUCUUUGUUGAUGUAUUUUGUGCAAAUUUUGAGGAACCAAAGAGAAUUUCAAUUCCAAUUUUGGGUGGAUUCGAGCUAUUUUAUUGAUUUAUUUUUGGUUAUAUCUCGAAGGAUGUUCUGACAAUCAAUAGAUAAUUUGAAGGCCAACACUGUUUUUGCAUAAAUAUAGGAUUCUUCAUCUCAAAAAUUAAAAAGAUACAUAAAUAAUCGGAACUCACCAUAUAAUUGAUCUGUUUUGGUUCUCGUCCUAGUUCUUCUUGUACUUCUCUUUCCAAUUUCUUCUCUCCUUUCUUCUUUCCCAUUUCUUCUCUUCUUUCUUCUUUCCCAUGACUAUGAUUAGAUUUUUUUUGGCCCUUUUUACCAGCAAGAUGUUAUCUUGUCCAUGGAAUUUUUAAAACUAGUUCAAUUUUGAUUAAUUAUUUUAAAUUGACCCCAUUAUAAAGUAGAAAUUAAUCCUUGUAAAAUU